UACGAAGGGGGCGAGCGUUGUUCGGAAUUACUGGGCGUGAAGGGCGCGCAGGCGGCUCAGACAGUCAGAUGUGAAAGCCCCGGGCUUAACCUGGGAACUGCAUUUGAUACUACUGAGCUUGAGUACGGGAGAGGAUAGUGGAAUUCCCAGUGUAGAGGUGAAAUUCGUAGAUAUUGGGAAGAACACCGGUGGCGAAGGCGGCUAUCUGGACCGUAACUGACGCUGAGGCGCGAAAGCGUGGGGAGCAAACAGG
rnacentral:rRNA from 1 species